rnacentral:rRNA from 1 species
CAGCCACCGCGGGAAUACGAAGGGGGCUAGCGUUGCUCGGAAUUACUGGGCGUAAAGGGAGCGUAGGCGGAUGUUUAAGUCAGAGGUGAAAGCCCAGGGCUCAACCUUGGAACUGCCUUUGAUACUGGACAUCUUGAGUAUGGGAGAGGUAAGCGGAACUCCGAGUGUAGAGGUGAAAUUCGUAGAUAUUCGGAAGAACACCAGUGGCGAAGGCGGCUUACUGGCCCAUUACUGACGCUGAGGCUCGAAAGCGUGGGGAGCAAACAGGAUUAGAUACCCCGGUAGUCCCUGUCUCUUAUAC